GUGACAGAAGAGAGUGAGCACACAUGGUUUUUCUUGCAUGGAGGUUCAUGCUCGAAGCUCUGUGUGCUCACUCUCUAUCUGUCAC
rfam:Nelumbo nucifera unplaced genomic scaffold scaffold00029, whole genome shotgun sequence